AGAGUUUGAUCAUGGCUCAGAUUGAACGCUGGCGGCAGGCCUAACACAUGCAAGUCGAACGGUAACAGGAAACAGCUUGCUGUUUCGCUGACGAGUGGCGGACGGGUGAGUAAUGUCUGGGAAACUGCCUGAUGGAGGGGGAUAACUACUGGAAACGGUAGCUAAUACCGCAUAACGUCGCAAGACCAAAGAGGGGGACCUUCGGGCCUCUUGCCAUCAGAUGUGCCCAGAUGGGAUUAGCUAGUAGGUGGGGUAACGGCUCACCUAGGCGACGAUCCCUAGCUGGUCUGAGAGGAUGACCAGCCACACUGGAACUGAGACACGGUCCAGACUCCUACGGGAGGCAGCAGUGGGGAAUAUUGCACAAUGGGCGCAAGCCUGAUGCAGCCAUGCCGCGUGUAUGAAGAAGGCCUUCGGGUUGUAAAGUACUUUCAGCGGGGAGGAAGGGAGUAAAGUUAAUACCUUUGCUCAUUGACGUUACCCGCAGAAGAAGCUCCGGCUAACUCCGUGCCAGCAGCCGCGGUAAUACGGAGGGUGCAAGCGUUAAUCGGAAUUACUGGGCGUAAAGCGCACGCAGGCGGUUUGUUAAGUCAGAUGUGAAAUCCCCGGGCUCAACCUGGGAACUGCAUCUGAUACUGGCAAGCUUGAGUCUCGUAGAGGGGGGUAGAAUUCCAGGUGUAGCGGUGAAAUGCGUAGAGAUCUGGAGGAAUACCGGUGGCGAAGGCGGCCCCCUGGACGAAGACUGACGCUCAGGUGCGAAAGCGUGGGGAGCAAACAGGAUUAGAUACCCUGGUAGUCCACGCCGUAAACGAUGUCGACUUGGAGGUUGUGCCCUUGAGGCGUGGCUUCCGGAGCUAACGCGUUAAGUCGACCGCCUGGGGAGUACGGCCGCAAGGUUAAAACUCAAAUGAAUUGACGGGGGCCCGCACAAGCGGUGGAGCAUGUGGUUUAAUUCGAUGCAACGCGAAGAACCUUACCUGGUCUUGACAUCCACGGAAGUUUUCAGAGAUGAGAAUGUGCCUUCGGGAACCGUGAGACAGGUGCUGCAUGGCUGUCGUCAGCUCGUGUUGUGAAAUGUUGGGUUAAGUCCCGCAACGAGCGCAACCCUUAUCCUUUGUUGCCAGCGGUCCGGCCGGGAACUCAAAGGAGACUGCCAGUGAUAAACUGGAGGAAGGUGGGGAUGACGUCAAGUCAUCAUGGCCCUUACGACCAGGGCUACACACGUGCUACAAUGGCGCAUACAAAGAGAAGCGACCUCGCGAGAGCAAGCGGACCUCAUAAAGUGCGUCGUAGUCCGGAUUGGAGUCUGCAACUCGACUCCAUGAAGUCGGAAUCGCUAGUAAUCGUGGAUCAGAAUGCCACGGUGAAUACGUUCCCGGGCCUUGUACACACCGCCCGUCACACCAUGGGAGUGGGUUGCAAAAGAAGUAGGUAGCUUAACCUUCGGGAGGGCGCUUACCACUUUGUGAUUCAUGACUGGGGUGAAGUCGUAACAAGGUAACCGUAGGGGAACCUGCGGUUG
rnacentral:rRNA from 1 species